CCACCGGUAUAUCAGAAGCGAGUAACUUUUUACUCGUAUCACAGAUAGAUAUUGAGCAAGGUGACUGACUCUUCACACUAGGCUUACUGAGCGGGUUCCAGAGCAAUGGCUUUUAACUCGUGCAGGCGGGUAAGUAUUCAACAAGUAGCUGUAUCUUCACACUGGGCUUUACAGGGCGUAUUCAAGGUCAGUAGCUUUUAGCUCGUACAAACAGGUAAGUAUUCAACAAGUGGCUGUAUCUUCACGCUGGGCUUUACAGGGCGUAUUCAAGGGCAAUAGCUUUUAGCUCGUACAGAGAAGUAAGUAUUCAACAAGUGGCUGUAUCUUCACGCUGGGCUUACAGAGCGUAUUCAAGGUCAGUAGCUUUUAGCUCGUACAAACAGGUAAGUAUUCAACAAGUAACUGUAUCUUCACGCUGGGCUUUACAGGGCGUAUUCAAGGGCAAUAGCUUUUAGCUCGUACAGACAGGUAAGUAUUCAACAAGUGACUGGAUCUUCACGCUGGGCUUACAGAGCGUAUUCAAGGUCAGUAGCUUUCCCCACAAUAUCCGCACAAUACCUUGUUUUGCUUUCACACUUCACCUUCGAGCUGGGUCCGGAGAACGGAGUUAUAGGCGGGCGUAGGUGGGAUAGGUGGGCACCGCCACGGCAGCCUACGUUCUUUCCAACAGGAACUUUUCUCGGCCUGGAGGGCAAGUACAGACAACAGGGAAACGGCACAGCACUGCAAAGCUUUAGUGCACACACGUCAAAGACAGACUCACCCACUGCACUACACACACUUCAGUGAUUUUUAAGGUCGGUACUCCACACCCGGUCGGAUUUCGUCCUGGAGGAAUUUGCAGUCGCUGUCACGGUAAGUGCUCCAAACUUUACGGUGUGGCCACAGCCAAAUAACAUCCAUUCACCCACGCUCUACUUCGGCUCACCCACUCGUCUCGUCC
ensembl:lncRNA